AGCGAACGCUGGCGGCAGGCCUAACACAUGCAAGUCGAGCGCCGUAGCAAUACGGAGCGGCAGACGGGAGAGUAACACGUGGGAACGUACCCUUUGGUUCGGAACAACCCAGGGAAACUUGGGCUAAUACCGGAUAAGCCCUCACGGGGAAAGAUUUAUCGCCGAAGGAUCGGCCCGCGUCUGAUUAGCUAGUUGGUGGGGUAAUGACCCACCAAGGCGACGAUCAGUAGCUGGUCUGAGAGGAUGAUCAGCCUCACUGGGACUGAGACACGGCCCAGACUCCUACGGGAGGCAGCAGUGGGGAAUAUUGGACAAUGGGCGCAAGCCUGAUCCAGCCAUGCCGCGUGGGUGAUGAAGGCCCUAGGGUUGUAAAGCCCUUUCGGCGGGGAAGAUAAUGACGGUACCCGCAGAAGAAGCCCCGGCUAACUUCGUGCCAGCAGCCGCCGCGGUAA
rnacentral:rRNA from 1 species